UGUGUGUGUGUGUGUGUUCAGCUGCUGCCCAAACACAGCGCUCAGACCAUCAGCACAGCCCGCAACAAAAAACUGAAGAAGGUGCAGCCCAAGAAAGGAGACGCUCCCAGGGAGAAGCCGGGGGCCGAGAGCCUGCGCAAGGACAGAGCCUUCGUCACCAAUCUGGAUAAGAUGCACCAGACCCUGACAGAGCUGUGCUCCUCGUUCAGCAUCUGCACUGAUUUCUCCGUCUGCAGACACGUCAUCGUGCCGGCCGAGUUCCUGCUCACACAGCUGGAGAUCAGACUCAACAAGGUGUUUGUGCAGAUGGCGGGCUACAAUCAGAGCACUCAUGAGAUCUCGCGUCCGUCAGAUCUUGCGUCAGGAAUGCAGGCGUACGUCAGCGCGAUACACACUCUCAGCUCCUACAUCAACAUCGACGUCUCGCGCCUCGUC